CAGUAGCCACGGUAAUACAGAGGGUGCGAGCGUUAAUCGGAUUUACUGGGCGUAAAGCGUGCGUAGGCGGCUUCUUAAGUCGGAUGUGAAAUCCCUGAGCUUAACUUAGGAAUUGCAUUCGAUACUGGGAAGCUAGAGUAUGGGAGAGGAUGGUAGAAUUCCGGGUGUAGCGGUGAAAUGCGUAGAGAUCUGGAGGAAUACCGAUGGCGAAGGCAGCCAUCUGGCCUAAUACUGACGCUGAGGUACGAAAGCAUGGGGAGCAAACAGGAUUAGAUACCCCUGUAGUCCCUGUCUCUUAUAC
rnacentral:rRNA from 1 species